CUAACACAUACUAUGUUUUGGUCUGCGAGAGCAAGACAACCCAACCUAAAGGUUAGGCCUUCUCUAGUGGUGGGUAUGCUAAGUGGCAUAAAAGUCUGACAAAGAUGGUGGGUGCGAUUUUGCUUGUUCCCUCUGUAGUCGUCCGCAUUCUUGUGUGGGUCCGUAUUAUAUAAAAGAUUUACUUGCCUCUCUCCAGAGGAAGGACUCGCGCGCUGCUAAGGAAACUUCCGUUCCCCAUUUACUCUAGAUCCCCUUCUUCCUCUCUCUCCGGGCAAUCCUACACAAAUCAGCUGUGGAAUUAGAAUACCAGUCAUGCAAAUCGGGUCCAGGAAGCGUGGAUUUGGCGGCGCGCUCGACACCAACGCAGGCAGUGUCGUCGUUGUCAUGGCGACCUUGCCGGCGGCACAGCCACGGUCGUCUCGGAGGGAGCAGCACAGCGCGGGGUGAUGGCGGUGUUGACGAAGGAGCAGGAUAAGGUCGCGGCCUGCGGCGUCGGCGCCACGCCCAUGAAAGUGCUGCCGCUACAGGACUGGAAAGACGCAUCUACGAGGGAAGGUCAACGGACUCCAAACUGGCUUUGCUCUUGAUAUGUUCCUUCAUGAGGCCGGGGAUUUGCUGGAGCACUUGCUUCAUCAGUAUCUUGAUUGGAAGAAGAAGUGUAAGCUCCAGAUGCAUUUAACUUCAGCCUCUUAUUCUCUAAUGGAUAUACUCUAGCCCACUUAGGCUGAUCCUUAAUAACUCUCCACCAGUACUCAAAUAGGAAUGGCUUUUGUUUGUUUUCACUUUUGUAAACUGCAUGGGCUCUCUCCAGUAUUUGCUCAUCUGAUUCACCACUGCCAUGUGCGCUUUUCAUUCUAUGCCAACAUGAAUUGAACUUUGUAACCUUGGGUGCAUUCUUAUUCCAAUGGCUUUUGCAUUGCGGCACUGUUCUUCUACGGUCCUUAGGAGAAUACUUGUUAUAUUCUCUAGUGACUUCCUUCCAAUAAUGAUAAAAUUUCUUGUCAUUGCCUUUAACUGGAUCAUUGGAAUUGUUCAACCAUGCACUUACUAGACGUAUGUUCUCCUCUUCACUCCAAUACUUGCGCCCAGGAUUCUUUUUUCCUUCCUCAGGACUGCUAUCACACUCUUCUUCAAUUACAGGGCCUCCUUGUACAGGCUGAGGAAUAGAGACCGGAGAAGCUGAUUCAUCACCACGUGAUCCACCACCACCUGUACCUCCAAAGAAGAAAGUCGAUCCAACUGGAGAUGAUGGAUCGCUGGCCAUACCAACUCCAGAUGGUUCUUGCUGCUGUUGCCCCACACCUCCUUGAUAAGGGAAGCAAGGAUAGCUUGAAGAUCCAGGAUGAAAUUGCUGAUAGCCUGGUGGAGCUACAUAAGGAUUGAAGUUGUGUGCAUAAUGUGGCUGUUGAUUGGUUGCAUAUGGUGGUGGUGGGAUAUGUGGGGGAAAAUAAGGUGGAGGAAAACUAUGGUAUUGCUGGCUGUAGCCGCUUUGUACUGGUGGGAAAUCUGGAGUCGAGGAUGGGUUGUUCAAACUUGUGAAGCUAGCAGAGGAAGAUGAUGGCUCCAUGGAUGUGGAGAGGAGAGCAGCAAGGAAGAGAGGGGACUGUAAAAUUUUCAGUCUCAAAUGGAAAAUGCGUGUAUAUGUAUAGGCCAAGGAAGCAACGGCUAGUUCGUUUCUUCCAACGGUCAGGCUGUCCGUUGAUUUCACUGUACAUUUCACUGUAUAUAUAUUUGUUUAUUUGA